AAAAUAAAAAUAAAAUCCAAAGAUAGUUAAGUGCAUCUUCUGAACUACGAGGCAGCAAAGUAAAAAUAUGCUAUGCUGUAAGAUCCUGUUUGGUUCAGAGGAUAAGCGGGGGUAACGAAAGUUAUCCGUCAAACGGAAUCAUUUUUUGCCAGGAUAUUUUAUCCCGGUCAAAGUUUGCUAUUUCCGGCUACCCCAGAAUAGCAAGCUCUUUACUAUUCCACCAUUUUAAUAGAAUAAUGCUAUUCCAAUACUUAAUUUCAAACUUAAUUAAAAUUAUAAAACAAAUUAAAACUAAAUUAUAUAAAUAUAAUAUAUUUUAUAUAUUAUUAUUAAUACAUUAUUUUUAUUAUAAAAUUAUUAAUUGUACUAUAUUAAUACAUAUUAUUUAUAUUUAAAUAUUACAACAAAUUAAAAUUUAAAAUUUAAAAUUUAAAUUUAAAAUUUAAAAUAUUAUGAUAAAUUAAAUUUAAAAUUUAAAAUUUAUAAUCUCAAAAUUGAAGUUUAUAAUUUAUAAUUCCACAUUUUAAAUUUUAAAUUUAAAUUUUGAUAUUUUAAAUUUUUAAAAUUUUAAAUUUGAUAUUUUAUUUUUUUCAAAAUUAAAUUUGAUCUUAAAUUUAAACUUUGAAAUUUAAAAUUUUGAAUUUAAAAUUUGAGAUUUUAAAUUUUAAAUUUUAAUUUCAAAAUUUGAAAUUUAAAAGUUAAAAUUUGAAAUUUUAAAAUAUAAAUAUAAAAUAUGAAAAUUCAAAUUCUAAUAUAAAGAAAGGGAUAAUAUUAUUAUUUUUUAUUUAUAACUACUCACUUUAAUUCUUAUUUCAUCCUACCUAACCAAACACUAUUUUUUUUUUUCGCAAGAAUAACCUAAUUUUCACCCAAAUGCAAAAUUAAUCUAAUCCCCACUUAUAACUUAAUUUAUAUCUAUUUCUGGAAUAUCCAUUUUUUGCUUAUUUCCGAACUAAAUGAUACCUAAGGGGCAAACUGAAAUUUUACCAUUUUCCAUAUUUGUAUUCAGAAAAAAUUUCCAUUC
rnacentral:lncRNA from 1 species